UACGUAGGGUGCAAGCGUUUGUCCGGAAUUAUUGGGCGUAAAGAGCUCGUAGGCGGUUUGUCGCGUCGGCUGUGAAAACCUGGGGCUCAACCCCGGGCCUGCAGCCGAUACGGGCAAACGUAGAAUUCGGUAGGGGAGACUGGAAUUCCUGGUGUAGCGGUGAAAUGACGCAGAUAUCAGGAGGAACACCGGUGGCGAAGGCGGGUCUCUGGGCCGAUAUUGACGCUGAGGAGCGAAAGCGUGGGGAGCAAACAGG
rnacentral:rRNA from 1 species